rnacentral:tRNA from 1 species
UUAAUUGAAACCAAAUUAGAGGUAUUUCACUGUUAAUGAUUGAAAUGAGAUUGACUCCAAUUAAA